rnacentral:miRNA from 1 species
UAGCACCAUUUGAAAUCGGUUG